rnacentral:piRNA from 1 species
UAAACCUCAAAAUCCAGGCGGUAACCUU